ACUCCUACGGGAGGCAGCAGUGGGAAUCUUAGACAAUGGGCGCAAGCCUGAUCUAGCCAUGCCGCGUGAGCGAUGAAGGCCUUAGGGUUGUAAAGCUCUUUCAGCGAGGAAGAUAAUGACUGUACUCGCAGAAGAAGCCCCGGCUAACUCCGUGCCAGCAGCCGCGGUAAUACGGAGGGGCUAGCGUUGUUCGGAAUUACUGGGCGUAAAGCGCACGUAGGCGGAUCAGAAAGUCAGAGGUGAAAUCCCGGGGCUCAACCUCGGAACUGCAUUUGAAACUGGCAGACUAGAGUACUGUAGAGGGGGUGAGAAUUUCAGGUGUAGCGGUGAAAUGCGAUAGAGAUCUGAAGGAAUACCGGUGGCGAAGGCGGCCCCUGGACAGAUACUGACACUCAGAUGCGAAAGCGUGGGGAGCAAACAGGAUUAGAUACCCUGGUAGGCUCUGCU
rnacentral:rRNA from 1 species